AUCCAGUUAAUGCACCAUCGUCGAGGCAAGACUUUGGCAGCUUUAUUUCUUCAAAAAUGUGGCCAGCCAUAUCGAAAGAUACAAUAAAGUCAUCAUAUCCAGUUUCAUUAACCUUUCUUGCAACCCAAUAUAUCGAUCCAUCUAGAAAUGCCUUUGCCAUAUGGCUUGUAAUAAAGUAUGAAAGAUCAAUUUCAAUCUUU
rnacentral:lncRNA from 1 species